UCUCGAUAGCGUAAAAGUUAACUCAAAUUUGUAUGGAGUUGGAUCGUUUGCCUACGUUUGCCGCUAGGGGCGCUGUUCCAACUGCAUACAAAACUGGAUUAACUUUUACGCUGUCGA
rnacentral:pre_miRNA from 9 species